GCCUCCCUCUUUCUUCGUGCUUAACACAUGCAAGUCGAACGGAAAGGCCCUGCUUUUGUGGGGUGCUCGAGUGGCGAACGGGUGAGUAACACGUGAGUAACCUGCCCUUGACUUUGGGAUAACUUCAGGAAACUGGGGCUAAUACCGGAUAGGAGCUCCUGCUGCAUGGUGGGGGUUGGAAAGUUUCGGCGGUUGGGGAUGGACUCGCGGCUUAUCAGCUUGUUGGUGGGGUAGUGGCUUACCAAGGCUUUGACGGGUAGCCGGCCUGAGAGGGUGACCGGCCACAUUGGGACUGAGAUACGGCCCAGACGCCUACGGGAGGCAGCAGUGGGGAAUAUUGCACAAUGGGCGGAAGCCUGAUGCAGCAACGCCGCGUGCGGGAUGACGGCCUUCGGGUUGUAAACCGCUUUCGCCUGUGACGAAGCGUGAGUGACGGUAAUGGGUAAAGAAGCACCGGCUAACUACGUG
rnacentral:rRNA from 1 species